UUGGCCUAGCCAACCCGUCACCGACAUUACCCCUGUUUUUGUGCACCUUCGUUUCCUUGACAGGCUCGCCUGUCAAUUGGACCAUUUAUAACCAUUUGUAGUAGUAGUUUGCGUCAGUAAAACUAAAUAUUUACAACUUUCAACAACGGAUCUCUUGGUUCUGGCAUCGAUGAAGAACGCAGCGAAAUGCGAUAAGUAGUGUGAAUUGCAGAAUUCAGUGAAUCAUCGAAUCUUUGAACGCACAUUGCGCCCCUUGGUAUUCCAUGGGGCAUGCCUGUUCGAGCGUCAUUUGAACCUUCAAGCUUUGCUUGGUGUUGGGCGUUGUCCGCAAGGACUCGCCUCAAAAUCAUUGGCAGCAGAUUAUCAGCAGUUCGGCGCAGCACAUUUGCGCUCCUUCUUAUAGUCUACGUCCACCAAGAUACCAAUCGUUUGACCUCGGAUCAGGUAGGGAUACCCGCUGAACUUAAGCAUAUCAAUAAGCGGAGGAAAAGAAACCAACAGGGAUUGCCUUAGUAACGGCGAGUGAAGCGGCAACAGCUCAAAUUUGAAAUCUGGCUCUUUUAGGGUCCGAGUUGUAAUUUGCAGAGGGCGCUUUGGCGUUGGCAGCGGUCUAAGUUCCUUGGAACAGGACGUCACAGAGGGUGAGAAUCCCGUACGUGGUCGCAUGUCUUCGCCGUGUAAAGCCCCUUCGACGAGUCGAGUUGUUUGGGAAUGCAGCUCUAAAUGGGAGGUAAAUUUCUUCUAAAGCUAAAUACUGGCCAGAGACCGAUAGCGCACAAGUAGAGUGAUCGAAAGAUGAAAAGCACUUUGGAAAGAGAGUCAAACAGCACGUGAAAUUGUUGAAAGGGAAGCGCUUGCAGCCAGACUUGCCUGUANNUGCUCAUCCGAGCUUUUGCCCGGUGCACUCUUCUAUAGG
rnacentral:rRNA from 1 species